GCCAGACUCCUACGGGAGGCAGCAGUGGGGGAUAUUGCACAAUGGGGGAAACCCUGAUGCAGCAACGCCGCGUGAGUGAAGAAGUAUUUCGGUAUGUAAAGCUCUAUCAGCAGGGAAGAGAAUGACGGUACCUGACUAAGAAGCCCCGGCUAACUACGUGCCAGCAGCCGCGGUAAUACGUAGGGGGCGAGCGUUAUCCGGAUUUACUGGGUGUAAAGGGAGCGUAGACGGCUGGUCAAGUCUGAAGUGAAAGCCCGGGGCUUAACCCCGGAACGGCUUUGGAAACUGAGCAGCUAGAGUGCUGGAGAGGUAAGCGGAAUUCCUAGUGUAGCGGUGAAAUGCGUAGAUAUUAGGAGGAACACCAGUGGCGAAGGCGGCUUACUGGACUGUAACUGACGUUGAGGCUCGAAAGCGUGGGGAGCAAACAGGAUUAGAUACCCGGGUAAC
rnacentral:rRNA from 1 species